GAAACACAGAAAAGUACGAGGAGAGGAACGCGAUAAUAAAUUACUGGAAUUGUAUUGUUUAACAAACACAUACCAGCAUGAAGCCGGUAACAGUGUUCGCUCUCCUGGCCUGUCUCGGGUUCAUGAUAAACACCGCCUUGGCAUUUCCCACGAUGACUAAGAGAGACGGAGAUUCGUGUGAUGGGAGUAUUGGAGACGGUUGUGAUGGAGGAGAUGGUGGAGGGGAU